UUCGCGGUAGCCCAGUUGGCUGUGGCAUCGGCAGUAUAGAUGCCAAAAGUCGCAGGUCCAAAUCCUGCCUGCGGUA